UACGUAGGUGGCAAGCGUUGUCCGGAUUUAUUGGGCGUAAAGCGCGCGCAGGUGGUCCUUUAAGUCUGAUGUGAAAGCCCACGGCUCAACCGUGGAGGGUCAUUGGAAACUGGGGAACUUGAGUGCAGAAGAGAAGAGCGGAAUUCCACGUGUAGCGGUGAAAUGCGUAGAGAUGUGGAGGAACACCAGUGGCGAAGGCGGCUCUUUGGUCUGUAACUGACGCUGAGGCGCGAAAGCGUGGGGAGCAAACAGG
rnacentral:rRNA from 1 species